AAAAUUAUAUUUAUUGCUUCAUACACACAAUGUACAUACAAUGUAUCUUUUAUUUUUUAACAGGAGCUAAAAGGAAAGCCACAAAGGACAAGUUCAAUAUGCAGGUUUACAAUUUGGAAGUGGCGCAGGUUCUUUGGAAUGUCUACAACCUUUCAGUAGAAUUUUUUUUUGAAAAGCAUGGCACAGCAAGAAAAAGAUAUAAGACACUACAAGACAUUCCAAGUGAUUUUGAAUAAGACAAUUGAUUGACUUUUUCAAUGUAUUCUUAAAUAAAUCAAAUAGUUGAUGUAAAA